rnacentral:rRNA from 1 species
AUUGAACGCUGGCGGCAUGCUUUACACAUGCAAGUCGAACGGUAACAGGCCGCAAGGUGCUGACGAGUGGCGAACGGGUGAGUAAUGCAUCGGAACGUGCCCAGUCGUGGGGGAUAACGCAGCGAAAGCUGCGCUAAUACCGCAUACGAUCUAUGGAUGAAAGCGGGGGACCGUAAGGCCUCGCGCGAUUGGAGCGGCCGAUGUCAGAUUUGGUAGUUGGUGGGGUAAAGGCUCACCAAGCCAACGAUCUGUAGCUGGCCUGAGAGGACGACCAGCCACACUGGGACUGAGACACGGCCCAGACUCCGACGGGAGGGAGCAGUGGGGAAUUUUGGACAAUGGGCGCAAGCCUGCUCCAGCAAUGCCGCGUGCAGGAAGAAGGCCUUCGGGUUGUAAACUGCUUUUGUACGGAACGAAACGGUCCUGGUUAAUACCUGGGGCUAAUGACGGUACCGUAAGAAUAAGCACCGGCUAACUACGUGCCAGCCGCCGCCGUAACAC